rnacentral:rRNA from 1 species
UACGGAGGGUCCAAGCGUUAUCCGGAAUCAUUGGGUUUAAAGGGUCCGUAGGCGGUUUUGUAAGUCAGUGGUGAAAGCCCAUCGCUCAACGGUGGAACGGCCAUUGAUACUGCAAGACUUGAAUUAUUGGGAAGUAACUAGAAUAUGUAGUGUAGCGGUGAAAUGCUUAGAGAUUACAUGGAAUACCAAUUGCGAAGGCAGGUUACUACCAAUAUAUUGACGCUGAUGGACGAAAGUGUGGGGAGCGAACAGG